UACGUAGGGACCGAGCGUUGUCCGGAAUCAUUGGGCGUAAAGAGCGUGUAGGCGGCCAACUAAGUCCGGCGUGAAAUCUCGGGGCUCAACCCCGAGCGGUCGUGGGAAACUGGUUGGCUAGAGUGCGGGAGAGGAGAGUGGAAUUCCUGGUGUAGCGGUGAAAUGCGCAGAUAUCAGGAAGAACACCCGUGGCGAAGGCGGCUCUCUGGAACGCAACUGACGCUGAGACGCGAAAGCGUGGGGAGCAAACAGG
rnacentral:rRNA from 1 species